rnacentral:rRNA from 1 species
UUCCGGUUGAUCCUGCCGGACCUGACUGCUAUCGGAUUGAUACUAAGCCAUGUGAGUCAUUGUAGCAAUACAAGGCAGACGGCUCAGUAACACGUAGCCAACCUACCCUAUGGACGGGGAUAACCUCGGGAAACUGAGGAUAAACCCCGAUAGAUCAUUAUACCUGGAACGGUUUAUGGUCCAAAUGAUUCGUCGCCGUAGGAUGGGACUGCGGCCUAUCAGCUUGUUGGUGAGGUAAUGGCCCACCAAGGCUAUUACAGGUACGGGCUCUGAGAGGAGAAGCCCGGAGAUGGGUACUGAGACACGGACCCAGGCCCUACGGGGCGCAGCAGGCGAGAAAACUUUGCAAUGUGCGCAAGCACGACAAGGUUAAUCCGAGUGAUUCCUGCUAAAGGAAUCUUUUGCUAGUCCUAAAAACACUAGCGAAUAAGGGGUGGGCAAGUUCUGGUGUCAGCCGCCGCGGUAAAACCAGCACCUCAAGUGGUCAGGAGGAUUAUUGGGCCUAAAGCAUCCGUAGCCUGCUCUGUAAGUUUCCGGUUAAAUCCAUUAGCUUAACUGAUGGGCCGCCGGAAAAACUGCAAAGCUAGGGAGUGGGAGAGGUAGACGGUACUCGGUAGGAAGGGGUAAAAUCCUUUGAUCUAUUGAUGACCACCUGUGGCGAAGGCGGUCUACCAGAACACGUUCGACGGUGAGGGAUGAAAGCUGGGGGAGCAAACCGGAUUAGAUACCCGGGUAGUCCCAGCUGUAAACGAUGCAGACUCGGUGAUGCCCUGGGCUUGUGGCCAGUGCAGUGCCGCAGGGAAGCCGUUAAGUUUGCCGCCUGGGAAGUACGUACGCAAGUAUGAAA